rnacentral:lncRNA from 1 species
CUCUAUCUCUUUAUAACAUUACUCUUUCUAUUCUUUCAUAUUCUUUAUAAACAUAAGGACCAUACAUCAAGUCCAUCUAUCAUCAUGUCCAUAUAUCAUCAUGUCCACAACUAAACUAUACAAGCAUACAAGCAUUCAUAGCAUUACAUAACAUAUCAUCUCUUUAGCAACUUACAUCACAUACUAUCUCCAUAAACAUAUACAAUAAGCAUCUCUUAUACAUAAACAAAACACAACUAAGCUAUGCUAUUACAACCAAACAUGGCAACCCAUGCUUGAACCUCUUCUAUCCCAUAGUUCUUCUGACUUACUCUGGCUUGACAUACUCUGGCCCUGCAAGACUGGGGUUAAGGGAAUGGGGUGAGCUACAAGAGCCCAGUGAGUAGAAACAGAGAAAACAGUUCAUUUUAUUAUUCAUUAUGUAUUUAGUUCCUCCAUUUUUAGGUAUGUUAUUAUUCAUUCUAUUCUUUCUCUUUCUUUAUGCUUUCAUGAAAUGCGCCAUAGCACAAACAUUUCACAACAAGGAUGAACUUGUCACCAUUUAGCCCCUAUCAUUCUUACUUAUACAUGCCGGGGGCGUAGAGCCGUAGCAGGCACACCCAGACUACCAUAAUCAGUCAUAGUACCAGGGGCGUAGAGCCGUAGCAGGCACACCUGGGCUCACAUAGGCUAUCAUGACAUACAAGGGCUAAUGGAUCAUUCAACAUUCAUCCACAUCAACAACAUAGUAUGCAAUGCGUCACCUUCGUGAAACUAGUGCAAUCAUCCUAUAACAUAUAAACAUGGUGCAUGGGCAUGGUGAACUAGUGCAAACAUCCUAGUACAUAACAUGAUGUAUGAGUUUAGGCAUUAGAUUUUCUUAAAGUAAAAGAUUAAGUUAGUUCUACUCACCUGAAGCCACUGCUCAACAAACUCAGGGUCAACUAGCACUGAAGCUAGACACCUCUCCUCAGGUCCACUCCUACACAGAUGGACUCACAUGAGGUACUAAACACAUGCUAACAACUCAUAAGCAUACCCCCUAAAACCCCUCUAAACAUCACUUAAACAUGCAUAGAAAACAGCCAUGAAAAGGCUGGACAGGCACUUUCGGCGGCACCUUCGGCGGCCGGAAGUCUCCCUCCAGAGACGAAACUCGGGUAGGUUCGGCGGCACCUUCGGCGGCCGAACCCUCACUCCAGAGACGAAAGUCAGGCACUUUCGGCGGCCGAACAUUACCUUCGGCGGCCGAAAGUCUGCUUUCAAGCCACAACUCAACUUUCGGGGGCAAGGUUAGGCGGCCAAACCUAUGCAUCCAUAGGCACGUUCGGCGGCCGAAACCACCUUCGGCGGCCGAACCUGAGUUCAUCAGAACUCAGCCUUCGUGCAUACCAGCCUCCUAAACCUCACAAAACAACCCCAAACCUCACAUACUCUCUCCCAAGCAUGCAUACACACUCCCACAAGCAAAGAGAGCAAAGAAACUAACUUAAACUN